rnacentral:rRNA from 1 species
UACGUAGGGUCCGAGCGUUGUCCGGAAUUACUGGGCGUAAAGAGCUCGUAGGUGGUUUGUCGCGUUGUUCGUGAAAACUCACAGCUCAACUGUGGGCGUGCGGGCGAUACGGGCAGACUUGAGUACUGCAGGGGAGACUGGAAUUCCUGGUGUAGCGGUGGAAGUGCGCAGAUAUCAGGAGGAACACCGGUGGCGAAGGCGGGUCUCUGGGCAGUAACUGACGCUGGAGGAGCGAAAAGCCGUGGGGGAGCGAACAGGG